rnacentral:rRNA from 1 species
GAGUUUGAUCCUGGCUCAGGAUAAACGCUGGCGGCGCACAUAAGACAUGCAAGUCGAACGAACUUAAUUUUAAUAUUUAUAUUAAAAAGCGGUUAGUGGCGGACUGGUGAGUAACGCGUAAGCAAUCUGCCUAUCAGAGGGGAAUAACAGUGAGAAAUCAUUGCUAAUACCGCAUAUGCCAUAAGAAUCACAUGAUUCUAGUGGGAAAGGAGCAAUCCACUGAUAGAUGAGCUUGCGUCUGAUUAGCUAGUUGGUGGGAUAACGGCCUACCAAGGCGACGAUCAGUAGCCGGACUGAGAGGUUGAACGGCCACAUUGGGACUGAGAUACGGCCCAGACUCCUACGGGAGGCAGCAGUCGGGAAUAUUGCGCAAUGGAGGAAACUCUGACGCAGUGACGCCGCGUAUAGGAAGAAGGUUUUCGGAUUGUAAACUAUUGUCGUUAGGGAAGAUAAAAGACAGUACCUAAGGAGGAAGCUCCGGCUAACUACGUGCCAGCAGCCGCCGCGGU